AAAGGAAUAGACGGGGGCCCGCACAAGCGGUGGAGCAUGUGGUUUAAUUCGACGCAACGCGAAGAACCUUACCGGGGCUUGACAUCUUUUUGACCGCCUGGGAAACCAGGUUUUCUUCCUUCGGGAAGACAGAAAGACAGGUGGUGCAUGGUUGUCGUCAGCUCGUGUCGUGAGAUGUUGGGUUAAGUCCCACAACGAGCGCAACCCUUGUCCUUAUUUGCCAGCCUGUUUACAGGCGCACUCUAAGGAGACUGCCGUAGAUAAUACGGAGGAAGGUGGGGAUGACGUCAAAUCCUCAUGCCCCUUACGUCCCGGGCUACACACGUGCUACAAUGGUCUGUACAGAGGGUUGCUAAGGAGCGAUCCGGAGCCAAUCCCACAAAGCAGGCCCCAGUUCGGAUUGGAGGCUGAAACUCGCCUCCAUGAAGGUGGAAUCGCUAGUAAUCGCGGAUCAGCAUGCCGCGGUGAAUACGUUCCCGGGCCUUGUACACACCGCCCGU
rnacentral:rRNA from 1 species